CACGUAGGGCGCAAGCGUUGUCCGGAAUUAUUGGGCGUAAAGGGCUCGUAGGCGGUUUGUCGCGUCGGGAGUGAAAACCCAGGGCUUAACCCUGGGCUGGCUUCCGAUACGGGCAGACUAGAGGUAUGCAGGGGAGAACGGAAUUCCCGGUGUAGCGGUGAAAUGCGCAGAUAUCAGGAGGAACACCGGUGGCGAAGGCGGUUCUCUGGGCAUUACCUGACGCUGAGGAGCGAAAGUGUGGGGAGCGAACAGG
rnacentral:rRNA from 1 species